rnacentral:lncRNA from 9 species
CUGCACAAUAUAUUAGGUGAAAUGAAAGCAGCAGCAAGAGAGAGCGUGUCAGAGCUGUCUGAAGCAUCAUUCCAAAUGGAAAGAGUGAGCUCAACUCUCAGAAUUUCUCUCUCUGGGGACGGUGCCUUACUGUGUUUGCUCCAGAGCCACCUGUCUCUUCCUGAGGCUGGACCUCCUCACUUGGCCCUCCAGUUGCAGUGACUGCUGUCCAGAGAGGGCAGAGGGUCUUCUGGAAAGAACUCAGGGUGGAGCAUGAUGGAGAGCUUAGGUAAUGCAUGUGGGAGGAGCCUAUAUUUUGGAAUCAGAAAGACCUGAGUUCAAAUCUCAUCUCCACCACUGAGCAGUUGCAUGAACAAGUUCAUUAGCCUCUUUGAGCUCUCAUUUCCUACAAGGAAUAUUCCCUGUUGGCUCAACAGAUCAACAUGAGGAUUAAAUUAAGUGGCAUUUACAAAGCACCCAGCAUAGUACCUGACCCUUAGUGGGUUCUCAAUAAUUUCCCUUCUGCAUUAACUCAAAACAUGAAGACUCCAGGAAUUCUCUAAAACCAUGAGGUCAUGCUCAUGUAUUCUUGCUCUCAUGGUAAAUC